rnacentral:rRNA from 1 species
CCUACGGGAGGCAGCAGUGAGGAAUAUUGGUCAAUGGUCGGGAGACUGAACCAGCCAAGCCGCGUGCGGGAGGAAGGUACAGAGUAUCGUAAACCUCUUUUGUCAGGGAACAAAGUCGGGGACGUGUCCCCUGAUGAGUGUACCUGACGAAAAAGCAUCGGCUAACUCCGUGCCAGCAGCCGCGGUAAUACGGGGGAUGCGAGCGUUAUCCGGAUUUAUUGGGUUUAAAGGGUGCGCAGGCGGUCUGUUAAGUCAGCGGUAAAAGCCCGGGGCUCAACCCCGGCCCGCCGUUGAAACUGGCAGGCUCGAGUUGGAGAGAAGUAUGCGGAAUGCGCGGUGUAGCGGUGAAAUGCAUAGAUAUCGCGCAGAACUCCGAUUGCGAAGGCAGCAUGCCGGCUCCAAACUGACGCUGAGGCACGAAAGCGUGGGUAUCGAACAGGAUUAGAUACCCCUGUAGUC